UUUUUUAUUGGCAAAAAAAUACUACCGGUUCGCAAAGUAACACCUCUGUCCUGAGAAGAACCGGCGUAAGAAACUCAGCGAGGUAUUAUUUAUUCUAAAAAAUUAAAUUAUUCAGACGUAUUACAAACAGUGUGUUCUUUUCUGAAUACAAUUAUACAAUCGUAUUUUUAUGUCAAAAUCAUUAGUCAAACCUUAUGUAAAAACAAAGGGCUAUACAUAUAUUACUAAUUUAAAUAUUUUUAGGAACGGCCCGCCCUCUUUCCCGCCAGUCAUAAAUGGCUCCACAUAAAUGCAACUAAGCAUUGAAGCCUAGGCAGUCCCUUUUAUUAUAUAUGUUGUUUUUUUAUAAAUUGGUCAAUUCCAUUGAAAAACUCAGCAAGGUGGUUAAUUUUACAAAAAAAAAUUCAGAUGUAUUACAAACAGUGUGUUCUUUUCUAAGUACGAUUAUACAAUGGUAUAUGUAAAAUAUUAUGUAAAAAUCAUUAGUCAAACCGUAUGUAAAAAAAAGAUUACUACUUUAAAUAUUUAUAGGAACGGCCCGCCCUCUCUCCCGCCAGUCAUAAAUGGCUCUACAUAAAUGCAACUAAGCAGUGAAGCUUAGGCAGUCCAUUCUUGUAUAUUUUGUUUUUUAUAAAUUGGUCAAUUCCAUUAAAAAACUCGGCGAGAUAUUAUUAUAAUUUAAAUACAAUAUUCAGAUGUAUUACAAACAGUGUGUUUUUUUCUAAGUAAGUACAAAUUAUACAAUCGUAUUUUAUGUGACAAAUUAAUUAGUUAAACCUUAUUUAAAAACAAAAGGCUAUUUGUUACCAAUUUAAAUAUUUUUAGGAACAGCCCACCCUCUGUCCCGCCAGUAAUUAAAUGGCUCCACAUAAAUGCAACUAAGCAGUUAAGCCUAGGCAUUCCCUUAAUGUAUUUUUUUGGAUAAAUUGUAAAAUAGGCGACAUUGAUACAACUGGAUUGCGAAGUGUUACAUAAUUAAACUUUGAUGAUGCAAGAAUAUACCUUAUAUGCAACUAAGCAAUGAAGCUUAGGCGGUCCCUUGUUUAAAUAGGGGAUAAAAAAUGACAUCAAUUUGACUAUGAAGUUAUACAUUAAUAAAUAAACAAAUAAUACAUAAUUAUUUUUUCACAAAUUGCGCUAGUCGCUUUCUAACUGUUUAAUGUAGAAUUUAGUGAAUAUAUGUAACUUGAUGAUAAUUAAAAUUGAAUUUCAAAAUUUGUUAACCUAACGAUGUUAAUGUAACUACGCUUGUAAAUAAAUAUAUAGGAAAAUACAAACAGAACGGAUUUUGCAAAAUUCUCCAUUGAAUACUACUAAGCAAUCGAAACAGGUGGUCCCCUAUUAUCAAAAUAACAAUAAUGUUAAAUGCAUAAAAUACAAGUUUUGUGGUAGAUUAUAUACCUCUUUCCUAAUAACAAAUAGUACGCAAUUUUUUUUUCAUAUAUAAUAAAAACAACAAUUUCAAAUUGAAUGUAAAUUACGAAAUGCCAUUACAUUGGUUAUUUUUAAUCGUCUCUAAUAUCUACCUGGACCAAAAAAACUAAGUCAAUCGAUACGUCGCUAGGUAUCCAGUGGUUAUCGAUCGAUGUCAAAUCGACUGGUCGACCAUACAAAAUUUAUCGAUCGACAUUUAUCGAUAAUCAAACGAUGUUAAUUGACGCUUCAACUAAAGUAUUUUUUUGGUUCGGUAAUUAAUACACUCUGCUAGCCGUUCUUUCCAAAUCGUUCUCACGUUCACUCGCAAAGUCAAGUUUAGUAACAUUUUCGUAUCUUUUCUUGCUAUUUUAGU